rnacentral:tRNA from 1 species
GCCGAUGUAGCUCAGUUGGCAGAGCAGCGGUUUUGUAAACCGCAGGUCAUAGGUUCGAGUCCUAUCAUCGGCU